AUUGAACGCUGGCGGCAGGCUUAACACAUGCAAGUCGGGCGGAGAUGAGGUGCUUGCACCUUCUCUUAGCGGCGGACGGGUGAGUAAUGCUUAGGAAUCUGCCUCUUAGUGGGGGACAACAUUCCGAAAGGAAUGCUAAUACCGCAUACGUCCUACGGGAGCAAGCAGUGGAUAUUCGGAACUUGCGCUAAUAGAUGUGCCUAAGUCGGAUUAGCGAGUUGGUGGGGUAAAGGCCUACCAAGGCGACGAUCUGUAGCGGGUCUGAGAGGAUGAUCAGCCACACUGGGACUGAGACACGGCCCAGACUCCUACGGGAGGCAGCAGUGGGGAAUAUUGGACAAUGGGGGGAACCCUGAUCCAGCCAUGCCGCGUGUGUGAAGAAGGCCUUAUGGUUGUAAAGCACUUUAAGCGAGGAGGAGGCUACUGAGACUAAUACUCUUGGAUAGUGGACGUUACUCGCAGAAUAAGCACCGGCUAACUCUGUGCCAGCCGCCGCAGUAA
rnacentral:rRNA from 1 species